GUCCUGGGGUUUCUGGGAUGUGCGUCUGACAGAAAAAAUUCAGGACUUAUGGGAAGCCUCUAGCCUUCUAAAAUGGCAAACAGAAGCCAGCCUGAUCAUUUGUGUGUGUUAAUUCCCUGUAAACAAAUUUUGUUUAGGUUACCUGAUGGAUUUUAAUAUUUGCAAUGCAGAUUGCAUGAAUUAAGACUGAUGGUUCCUCAUUUUUAUGCAUUUGACGUAGUGAGUUUACCAUUUUAAUGUACGACGUCACUGAUCUUCUGGGUGCUUAGAAAUCAUCAGUGUCUCUGAAGAGUGACAGUGAACAGGAAUAUGGUCAUUUCAGGUACGAGUGCUUCAGAGCGAAACUGCAGGAAAGGGAAUAUUCCAGGAUCCAAAGGGUUAUCAACUGCCUGCGAUGCACUUAUUUUUGCUUCACUUUCUACCUUUAAAACUAUACCCACUUGUCAAAAACGAAGAAGCUUGUUUGUCGAAGUGAAGCUCACAUCAGCUCCUGGAAAAUCAACAGUGACUUAAGGCACUUAGCUUUACAAGUCAAGGCUUUUGAAACAUAGAUAUCUCAUUUGUAAAAGUUUGGAUAUUAAAAUGUCAUUUAAACUAC
rnacentral:lncRNA from 1 species